rnacentral:rRNA from 1 species
AUUAACGCUGGCAGAGUGCAUAACACAUGCAAGUCGAGCGAGACCCGCAAGGGUCUAGCGGCAGACGAGUGAGUAACACGUAAAGAAUCUACCCUUGAAUGGCGAAUAACCAAUCGAAAGGCUGGCUAAUACGCCGUACUCUCCCUUGAAGGCAUCUUCGAGGGAGGAGAGAAUCGCAAGAUUCGUUCUUGGAGGACUUUGCGGCCCAUCAGCUAGUUGGCGGUGUAAUAGACCACCAAGGCUACGACGGGUACCCGGCCUGAAAGGGCGGACGGGCACGAUGGCACUGAGACACGGGCCAUACUCCUACGGGAGGCAGCAGUGGGGAAUUUUGGACAAUGGGCGAAAGCCUGAUCCAGCAACUCUGCGUGAGGGACGAAGGCCUUCGGGUCGUAAACCUCUUUUACAUGGGAAGAAUACCAGCAAUGGUUCGACGGUACCAUGUGAAUAAGCCACGGCUAACUAUGU